AUGGUCAAGUGAAUAAGCGCACAUGGUGGAUGCCUUGGCGAUAAGAGGCGAUGAAGGACGUAGUAAUCUGCGAUAAGCGUAGGGGAGCUGAUAAACAAGCUUUGAGCCUACGAUUUCCGAAUGGGGCAACCCACUUACCCUUGGGUAGGUAUCGUUAAGUGAAUACAUAGCUUAACGAGGCGAACCCGGCGAACUGAAACAUCUAAGUAGCCGGAGGAACAGAAAUCAACCGAGAUUUCCUAAGUAGCGGCGAGCGAACGGGAAACAGCCUGCAAGUGAUAUUAAGCAUUUUAGUGGAAUGGUCUGGA
rnacentral:rRNA from 1 species